rnacentral:lncRNA from 1 species
UCCCUCUCCUCCUCCCGGAGCCCAGGGGCGGGGGCCGCCUCCACCAGCCCUCGCAGGGCCUGGCCCAGAUCCCCCAGGCCCCUGACGGCCUCCACCAGCCGGCCCAGCUCCAGGCCCGCGGCCCUCCUCUCGGCGCGGCUCUGCUGCACGGCCUGGGUCAGGAUCCGCAGCUGCUUCCCCACGUCCCUCACGGCGCCCACCAGCUCCCGCAGGGCCGGCGGCUCGCAGGCCAUGACUCGGAGGACGGCCGGGGCGGCCCCCACGCACUGGCCUGUCUCCACGUCCCGGGGGGCCGUGGGGCCUGCUGCCGGGGGCUGCUCGGGGCCGGGCUUGGGAGUCGGGGCCGGGGCGGGGACGGGACCGGGGUUAACGGUGGGCACCGCGGCCGCCAUGAGGCUCGAGUCCCGGGCAGUGGGGGUCGGGGGAGGCGCAGGGCUGGAGCCGGGGGCAGGGCCGAGACCUCUGGCCGUCUCCGAAGGGGCCGGGGAGACUUGGAGGGGACCCUGGCCGGGGGCUGGGGGAGGCUGUGCGCCGCCGGGAGGCUGGGGCCCUGGGGCCGUCCCUGAGCUGGCCGGGGCCACGCUGGCUGGCUGGGACGUGGGGCUGAGCUCUGGAGCUUCUGCUGUCCAAGAGGGCAAGGGCAGGGUCCGCCCGUGGGCGCUGGGGGGGGUGGUGGUCAUCUCCGGGCCUGGGGAUGGGCUAAGCUCCAGCUCAGUUUGGGUGGGAUUAAAGGCGGGGGUCAGCCGCGGGGGCUGAGAGGUCAGCACUGGGGUGGAGGUGGGGUCAGAAGGCAUCUGCAGGGACAUGUCAGAGGUCAGGAGGGAGAUAGAAUCAGGAGUGAAUCGUGGUGCGGUGGAGGGAGAAGUCAACAGUGGGCUAGAAUCAGAGGUCAGGUCUAAGGGGGAGUUAGGGGUCAGCUGUGGGCUGGGGUCAGAGGUCAGCUGUUUGUCUGAAUCAGGGGUCAGCCGCGGACUGAGGUCAGUGGUCAGAGACAGUCCGAGAUCAGAGGUCAAAUGUGUGCUCGAUU